rnacentral:misc_RNA from 1 species
GAUGAAGAACGUAGCGAAAUGCGAUACGUAAUGUGAAUUGCAGAAUUCAGUGAAUCAUCGAAUCUUUGAACGCAUAUUGCGCUCUUUGGUAUUCCGAAGAGCAUGCUUGUUUGAGUAUCAGUAAACACCUCAACCUCUUCUUGAUUUUUCAAAAGGAGGGUGGACUUGAGCUAUCCCAACAACCUUUACCGGUCGGCGGGCGGCUUGAAAUGCAGGUGCAGCUGGACUUUUAUCUGAGCUAAAAGCAUAUCUAUUUAGUCCUCGUCAAACAGGAUUAUUACUUUUGCUGCAGCUAACAUAAAGGAUAAUUGUCCUCUUUGCUGACUGAUGCAGGAUUUUACGACACUUUAUGUGUUGUUCAACUCGAUCUCAAAUCAAGUAAGACUACCCGCUGAACUUAAGCAUAUCAAUAAGCGGGGGA